GACGAACGCUGGCGGCGUGCCUAAUACAUGCAAGUCGAGCGAAUGGAUUAAGAGCUUGCUCUUAUGAAGUUAGCGGCGGACGGGUGAGUAACACGUGGGUAACCUGCCCAUAAGACUGGGAUAACUCCGGGAAACCGGGGCUAAUACCGGAUAACAUUUUGAACCGCAUGGUUCGAAAUUGAAAGGCGGCUUCGGCUGUCACUUAUGGAUGGACCCGCGUCGCAUUAGCCAGUUGGUGAGGUAACGGCUCACCAAGGCAACGAUGCGUAGCCGAGCUGAGAGGGUGAUCGGCCACACUGGGACUGAGACACGGCCCAGACUCCUACGGGAGGCAGCAGUAGGGGAUCUUCCGCCAUGGACGAAAGUCUGACGUAGCAACGCCGCGUGAGUGAUGAAGGCUUUCGGGUCGUAAAACUCUGUUGUUAGGGAAGAACAAGUGCUAGUUGAAUAAGCUGGCACCUUGACGGUACCUAACCAGAAAGCCACGGCUAACUACGUGCCAGCCGCCGCAGUAA
rnacentral:rRNA from 1 species